rnacentral:rRNA from 1 species
AUUUUCCGGUUGAUCCUGCCGGACCUGACUGCUAUCGGAUUGGUACUAAGCCAUGCGAGUCGUUGUACAAUACAAGGCGGACUGCUCAGUAACACGUAGUUAACUUAACCUAUGGAUGGGCAUAACCUCGGGAAACUGAGAAUAAUACCCAAUGGACCACAGUGCCUGGAAUGGCCUGUGGUUGAAAUGAUUUAUCGCCGUAGGAUAGGACUGCGGCCUAUCAGCUUGUUGGUGUGGUAAUGGCCCACCAAGGCUAUAACAGGUACGGGCUCUGAGAGGAGGGGCCCGGAGAUGGGUACUGAGACACGGACCCAGGCCCUAUGGGGCGCAGCAGGCGAGAAACCUUUGCAAUGUGCGAAAGCACGACAAGGUUAAUCCGAGUGUCUCCUGCUAAAGGAGUCUUUUGGGUUCCC